GCGGCGGUGGAGCCUCCCUCGUGGAGGAUUACACCGGCUGCCCCGCGCUUUCCGAGAUCCUCCGCAUCCUCCCCGUGAAGCGUCGUCGUCGCGGAAGGACUUCAAUGCCUGGAUCGCCGACAACCUCCUCCAAAUCCUACAGGAGGUCCAGAUGUGUAUAUCAAGGACGCACAGAUCCAUUGGCCUGCGUACCACACAUCCCUUCACUAAUUCCAUCGGUGUCAUUCUUAACAAGGUAAGUAUGAUUCCCCCAUCCAUGAUUUUCUUAAUUGAUCUUUGAUCCUUGAUCUCCCUAAUGUCCUUACAUUUUAUUGAUUCUAUAAACGAUCUCAAACAGGAAUAUACCAAGAUUUAGAUGGAACCAAUUUUUAGGCCACAAUUCCUAUAACUUUCCUUGUCAAUUUGAUAAAAUUAGAUGUGUGAUGGAGGUUGUAACCUAUUACGGUAUACAUUGUCAGAAUUCUUCAAGACCCUCUGUCGAUCCUCACUAUCUUUGAAACAAUCUGAUUUCUGUGUCAUUGCUAAAAAUAUGUAUAUAUUUGGUGUGCUGGAUUUUCUGAUGUAUAUGCUAUAUAAGAGGAAGCUAUUCGACAAUCCUGCCCAAGUUGGUACAGAUUAGCUCGAUUUUAUUCAGUAAAUAUUUAUGCUUGAUAGAUACAAGCCUUCCUCUUUUGCCCUUCUUUUCUCCAUCCUCUGCAGGUCUCCAGCACAUGUGAAUCGUUGUCGUCAAGAGCAUGCUUGUGACAUCAUUACAAUAUGUGAUGCAGGGCAAAAGGAUGUUGUCAGGAAUAA